CCUACGGGUGGCUGCAGUGGGGAAUAUUGCACAAUGGGCGCAAGCCUGAUGCAGCCAUGCCGCGUGUGUGAAGAAGGCCUUCGGGUUGUAAAGCACUUUCAGCGGGGAGGAAGGCGUUAAGGUUAAUAACCUUGUCGAUUGACGUUACCUGCAGAAGAAGCACCGGCUAACUCCGUGCCAGCAGCCGCGGUAAUACGGAGGGUGCAAGCGUUAAUCGGAAUUACUGGGCGUAAAGCGCACGCAGGCGGUCUGUCAAGUCGGAUGUGAAAUCCCCGGGCUCAACCUGGGAACUGCAUUCGAAACUGGCAGGCUAGAGUCUUGUAGAGGGGGGUAGAAUUCCAGGUGUAGCGGUGAAAUGCGUAGAGAUCUGGAGGAAUACCGGUGGCGAAGGCGGCCCCCUGGACAAAGACUGACGCUCAGGUGCGAAAGCGUGGGGAGCAAACAGGAUUAGAUACCCUAGUAGUC
rnacentral:rRNA from 1 species